rnacentral:rRNA from 1 species
AACGAACGCUGGCGGCAUGCCUAACACAUGCAAGUCGAACGAACCCUUCGGGUCUUUGCUCGCUCGGGUUCGUCACCCGUGGGAUUCUGCCCUUGUGUUUGGCCUACCUGUGAGAAUUUUCAGCUUAUACCUUAUAAUGUCUUCGGCCCAAUGAUUUAUCGCCGAGGGUUGAUCCCUCGUAGGAUUAGGUAGUUGGUUGGGUAAUGGCCUACCAAGCCCACGAUUCUUAGCUGGUAUGAGUGGAAGGUCAGCCACACUGCGAGUGAGACACGGCCCAGACGUCUACGAAAGGGAGCAGGGGGGAAGAUUGGACAAUGGGCGAAAGCCUAAGGCAGCAAUGCCGCGUGAGUGAUGAAGGAGGUAGGGUUGUAAAGCUAAGUUACCCGGGAUGAUAAGGAGAGAACCGGGAGAAUAAGCUCCGGCUAACUCCGU